rnacentral:rRNA from 1 species
UACGUAGGGUGCGAGCGUUGUCCGGAAUUACUGGGCGUAAAGGGUUCGUAGGCGGUUUGUCGCGUCGUUUGUGAAAACCCGGGGCUCAACUUCGGGCUUGCAGGCGAUACGGGCAGACUUGAGUGUUUCAGGGGAGACUGGAAUUCCUGGUGUAGCGGUGAAAUGCGCAGAUAUCAGGAGGAACACCGGUGGCGAAGGCGGGUCUCUGGGAAACAACUGACGCUGAGGAACGAAAGCGUGGGUAGCAAACAGG